rnacentral:sRNA from 1 species
UGGAAGAUGAGCCCCAACUUCUAAAAAUGUAUCACUACCAGGAUUGAGAUACAAACAGCAUUUAGGAAGGUAGCCACAUUCACAUUUUCAGAGCCCAAAGCAAAAUAUGACACUAAGCUCUUCUUCCCUUUUCUGAUUCUUGCAGGUCUCAUCUGAGUAGCAGCUUCCUGCCCUCCUUCCUGGAGAUAAGUCGGGAUUUUGGUGAGACAGACUUUCCCGACCCUCUGCCCGGCCGGUGCCCAUGCAUCUGUGGCUGCUGCUGCUGAUCCUGACUCCUGGAAGAGAACAAUCAGGGGUGGCCCCAAAAGCUGUACUUCUCCUCGAUCCUCCAUGGUCCACAGCCUUCAAAGGAGAAAAAGUGGCUCUCAUAUGCAGUAGCAUAUCACAUUCCCUAGCCCAGGGAGACACAUAUUGGUAUCGCGAUGAGAAGUUGUUGAAAGUAAAACAUGACAAGAUCCAAAUUACAAAGCCUGGAAAUUACCAAUGUAAGACCCGAGGAUCCUCCCUCAGUGAUGCCGUGCAUGUGGAAUUUUCACCUGACUGGCUGAUCCUGCAGGCUUUACAUCCUGUCUUUGAAGGAGACAAUGUCAUUCUGAGAUGUCAGGGGAAAGACAACAAAAACACUCAUCAAAAGGUUUACUACAAGGAUGGAAAACAGCUUCCUAAUAGUUAUAAUUUAGACAAGAUCACAGUGAAUUCAGUCUCCAGGGAUAAUAGCAAAUAUCAUUGUACUGCUUAUAGGAAGUUUUACAUACUUGACAUUGUAGAAACUUCAAAACCCCUAAAUAUCCAAGUUCAAGAGGCCAGAUGUCCAGCUGCAAUUCUCCCUCUUCAGAGAUAGCCAGACCCUCGGAUUGGGCUGGAGCAGGUCCCCCAGACUCCAGAUCCCUGCCAUGUGGACUGAAGACUCAGGGUCUUACUGGUGUGAGGUGGAGACAGUGACUCACAGCAUCAAAAAAAGGAGCCUGAGAUCUCAGAUACGUGUACAGAGAGUCCCUGUGUCUAAUGUGAAUCUAGAGAUCCGGCCCACUGGAGGGCAGCUGAUUGAAGGAGAAAAUAUGGUCCUUAUUUGCUCAGUAGCCCAGGGUUCAGGGACUGUCACAUUCUCCUGGCACAAAGAAGGAAGAGUAAGAAGCCUGGGUAGAAAGACCCAGCGUUCCCUGUUGGCAGAGCUGCAUGUUCUCACCGUGAAGGAGAGUGAUGCAGGGAGAUACUACUGUGCAGCUGAUAACGUUCACAGCCCCAUCCUCAGCACGUGGAUUCGAGUCACCGUGAGAAUUCCGGUAUCUCACCCCGUCCUCACCUUCAGGGCUCCCAGGGCCCACACUGUGGUGGGGGACCUGCUGGAGCUUCACUGUGAGUCCCUGAGAGGCUCUCCCCCGAUCCUGUACCGAUUUUAUCAUGAGGAUGUCACCCUGGGGAACAGCUCAGCCCCUUCUGGAGGAGGAGCCUCCUUCAACCUCUCUCUGACUGCAGAACAUUCUGGAAACUACUCCUGUGAUGCAGACAAUGGCCUGGGGGCCCAGCACAGUCAUGGAGUGAGUCUCAGGGUCACAGUUCCGGUGUCUCGCCCCGUCCUCACCCUCAGGGCUCCCAGGGCCCAGGCUGUGGUGGGGGACCUGCUGGAGCUUCACUGUGAGUCCCUGAGAGGCUCCUUCCCGAUCCUGUACUGGUUUUAUCACGAGGAUGACACCUUGGGGAACAGCUCGGCCCACUCUGGAGGAGGGGCAUCCUUCAACCUCUCUCUGACUACAGAACAUUCUGGAAACUACUCAUGUGAGGCUGACAAUGGCCUGGGGGCCCAGCACAGUAAAGUGGUGACACUCAAUGUUACAGGAACUUCCAGGAACAGAACAGGCCUUACCGCUGCGGGAAUCACGGGGCUGGUGCUUAGCAUCCUCGUCCUUGCUGCUGCUGCUGCUCUGCUGCAUUACGCCAGGGCCCGAAGGAAACCAGGAGGACUUUCUGCCACUGGAACAUCUAGUCACAGUCCUAGUGAGUGUCAGGAGCCUUCCUCGUCCAGGCCUUCCAGGAUAGACCCUCAAGAGCCCACUCACUCUAAACCACUAGCCCCAAUGGAGCUGGAGCCAAUGUACAGCAAUGUAAAUCCUGGAGAUAGCAACCCGAUUUAUUCCCAGAUCUGGAGCAUCUGGCAUACAAAAGAAAACUCAGCUAAUUGUCCAAUGAUGCAUCAAGAGCAUGAGGAACUUACAGUCCUCUAUUCAGAAUUGAAGAAGACACACCCAGAUGACUCUGCAGGGGAGGCUACCAGCAGAGACAGGGCCCAUGAAGAAGAUGAUGAAGAAAACUAUGAGAAUGUACCACGUGUAUUACUGGCCUCAGACCACUAGCCCCUUACCCAGAGUGGCCCACAGGAAACAGCCUGCACCAUUUUUUUUUCUGUUCUCUCCAACCACACAUCACCCAUCUCUCCAGACUCUGCCUCCUACGAGGCUGGGCUGCAGGAUUCUGAACCCAAGAAAGAACAAAGUUCAAGAUUUCCCAUGUCUUUGUAACACUUAGCCCUGUGCAAAUCAGAGUAUGUGAGUGGAAGGAGGGGUGAGUCCUAACUGUACAUCUCGGAUAUAACAAAAGUGCAAAUUCUGAUUGACCUGUAAAAUGAAUUAUUCUCAUGCAGUGCUCUACUUGACUUUUAUCUUUGAAUUCACAACUAAAAACCCAUAGCCCAGAAAUCUAAAAAAAGUAAUUUUAGUGGAGCCUUUGAAAAUAAAAGACCAUUGGAAAAAGUA